CGGACCGACGGGAGCUUGCUCCCUUAGGUCAGCGGCGGACGGGUGAGUAACACGUGGGUAACCUGCCUGUAAGACUGGGAUAACUCCGGGAAACCGGGGCUAAUACCGGAUGCUUGAUUGAACCGCAUGGUUCAAUCAUAAAAGGUGGCUUUUAGCUACCACUUACAGAUGGACCCGCGGCGCAUUAGCUAGUUGGUGAGGUAACGGCUCACCAAGGCGACGAUGCGUAGCCGACCUGAGAGGGUGAUCGGCCACACUGGGACUGAGACACGGCCCAGACUCCUACGGGAGGCAGCAGUAGGGAAUCUUCCGCAAUGGACGAAAGUCUGACGGAGCAACGCCGCGUGAGUGAUGAAGGUUUUCGGAUCGUAAAACUCUGUUGUUAGGGAAGAACAAGUACCGUUCGAAUAGGGCGGCACCUUGACGGUACCUAACCAGAAAGCCACGGCUAACUACGUGCCAGCAGCCGCGGUAAUACGUAGGUGGCAAGCGUUGUCCGGAAUUAUUGGGCGUAAAGCGCGCGCAGGCGGUUUCUUAAGUCUGAUGUGAAAGCCCCCGGCUCAACCGGGGAGGGUCAUUGGAAACUGGGGAACUUGAGUGCAGAAGAGGAGAGUGGAAUUCCACGUGUAGCGGUGAAAUGCGUAGAGAUGUGGAGGAACACCAGUGGCGAA
rnacentral:rRNA from 1 species